GUUUAAUAUGAAUUAUUUAUCUCAGCAUUCAGUAAAGACGGUUUGAAGUCCUACUAUAUUUGAGCACUCUUCUAGGAGUGAGAGCUACAGAAGUGGACAAAGCCCCUACUCAAGGCGAAUCCUCCUAGGAUUCUUUUAUCUUCUGGAAAAUGCAGAGGGACUGCUCGCCUGGUCUUCAGGAGAGGUACGCUACUGCCAUCUUGGGUCAUCAACAAGCUGUGUCCGAUGCCUACCGUCUGCUCAUGGGGAAGGACAUUAGAACAUAAAUUGAUGUAUUCCGUAUAAGGCAUUGCUUUGGUCCAGAGCUUCUGCAGCUGCAGAGUGGCCCCCUGAUGGCACCAUCUACCACACUGUCCCCACAGACUCCCCCUCAGCACUCCAGGCUUCCCCAGCUCAAGAGAAAGCCAGUUGUCUUUCUAAAUGAACAACUCAGUAGAGACGACAAAAGUGCUGUGGCCGUUUCACAUCCACAAGGAGACUGUUCCCUGCUUCUGUGGACAGGUUGUGUCCAGAAAGUCUGGAGAGCAAAACCACAGAUUACAAUGCUGGACAUAUGUCUCCUCUCUCUUUCAGUUUUCUGCUUUCCACAAGCUUUGUUUAGAUCGUGGCUUGGAUGUUAACCUCAGCAUAAGAAGUCAGCCAACCUUCACAAGCUUCUGUAUCUUUAGCUGCAAAAUGGGAAUGAGAAAAACCGAUCUACAGCCCAACGUCCUUGUGAGGAUUCAACAGGGUCACAUGUGCAAGCUCCGUCAUGGUGCUGGCCAGAAGCAAGUGCUGGGUUGAAAUUUUUUCUCUCUUUACAUCUACCCCUUUCCUCAUUCUCUCCUUCAAUUAAUAGAUAUUUAUAAUGGAUCUUUGGAGUCAGAUUGUCCUCGACAGUCAUUGUGUCAUCCCUUCAUUUUGUGGAUUCUAAAAUGUAUUAGCCCAAGUUGGCCAGUUUGCCUGACCUGAUAGAGAAGGAAACCCAUCUCUC